UGAUAAAACCUCAUGACCAGAAGCUUAUUUU
rnacentral:piRNA from 2 species